AGCAAUUCAAAGUAAUAGCCACUAAAAAUUAGUCCUAAAGUUGAUUUUAAUCUUCUCUUUAUUUGUUUCCCUGUGAAAUAUUCCCGAAUGGAUACAUUCACCCCAAAUUGCAAAACUAUCAUCUCUGCCACAGAGACGCACAAAAUUGAUUAGACCCCUCAUAUAUAUCUCUCUCUCUAUCGUCGGCACCCAAAUCAUCUCGCACUAUUGUCGGCCACCAUCACCAGUUUUUAUACAUUCAAGAUUCUAUUAUUUCAUGAAGAAACCACUCUGUUGGGAUCUCUUUGUGGCAAUAGAAAUGGACUGCACCAGCAUUAGCGUUAAAUAUCUUGCAGUCUUGAUGCUUAUCAUUCGACAAGCCAGAUAGAAUGCAGGACAAUUAAGCAAGUGAUGGAAUAAAUGAUGUGAAGGUAGCAAGAUUCUAAUGAUAAGUUGUUAUAACUUAUCUUGGGUGGCUCCUUUCCUUUCAAUUUUUUUAAUAUGCAGGGGAUAUGGUUCUUCUUGUUGCAGGGUGCAAUUGUGUUUCUAAUAGUGUUACCACGAUUUCACCAAGUUAUGCUCAAGAGGUCCGAACUGCUUAGUGAGUUGUGCAUUAUCGAGAGGCUGCAACAUCCCUUGCACGAGCAGUUAAAGAAAUUAUGCAACAUAUGGUUUUGCUUCUCAGCUAAAGUUAACUAUUUGUGCAUUACUUAUUAUUUUAUAUUUUUUCAAAAAUUGAAUUUAUUUUUUUUGCGUCUGAAUGUGUGUUUUUACCAAUUAACCGGAACUAGUCACAUGUGAUGCUCAAUAAACAAAGAGCUAAGAGUACAAAGUUGGAGAGAAUCAACGUUUAUUUUUACCUUCAUAGUCUAACUUCGACUGCAUAUAUGUUAAUUUCUUUUCA